AGGUUUAAUCAUAGCUAAGGUUUCUUUUCCCAUAGAUGAUCUCCAGGAAAGCAACUUGAAAACUCCUGAAUUUACAUCAAGUUCAAAUGAGAAAGAUAAGCAUUUGGCUAAAUUAUUUGAUGAGAUUCUCCUGCAGGUGCUUUCCAAAGACCCAUACUACACCAGUUUGGUUGAAGGAGGGACCGCAGUCACCGGGAGCCACUUGAAUGAAAGAGCCCGUGAUGUCUGGAAUUCUCCCAAACCAGAAUAUUUUCCUGGCACUGUGUAUCAAAUCUCAGAAAACGGUAAAUAAAAAUGGAUAACAUUGGAGUGGGGGCAAUAAGGAAUAGUUCUUUUUCC
rnacentral:lncRNA from 1 species